GUCGUCGUCGCCGCCUUCUUAUUCUUAUUUUAUUUUUUUUGAAAAAAAUAAUAAUAAAAUCUAAUCAUUUUUAUCCGGUAAAUAAAACAAGAUUAAUGCUGCUAUCUAUCUAUGUCAUAUUAUACAUAGAGCAUGAGUCCUCUGCGGUAUCCAUAAUGGACUGCACAGUACAAUGCAUCAUAAGCACCGACUAUGAUGGACGGUUGCAUGCAGCAUGCAUCGCAUAGUGUGAGGCUUGUGUGAUC
rnacentral:lncRNA from 1 species